rnacentral:lncRNA from 1 species
GGAAUACACUUUACAAAGGAUCUAUUUAACUAGCAAAUGAGCAUUUCAUACUUUCCCGCGCUACUUCCCAGUCCAAUAGAGGUCUUUCCAGUAAAAGGAGGUCGUGUACCACAGUUCGAGUUAAAAAGAAGAAAGGGGCUGCGAUAGAAAGAGAGGGCACAAGAGAAGCAAGAUACGACAUUCGUUGGAACAAAAGAGAGCAACAAAAAACAAGUUAAGUAAAGAUCUGGUUGAUUCCAUUCGUCAGUCACUAAGGGAAAUGACUCUC